rnacentral:rRNA from 1 species
GACGAACGCUGGCGGCGUGCUUAACACAUGCAAGUCGAACGGAAAGGCCCUGCUUUUGUGGGGUGCUCGAGUGGCGAACGGGUGAGUAACACGUGAGUAACCUGCCCUUGACUUUGGGAUAACUUCAGGAAACUGGGGCUAAUACCGGAUAGGAGCUCCUGCUGCAUGGUGGGGGUUGGAAAGUUUCGGCGGUUGUGGAUGGACUCGCGGCUUAUCAGCUUGUUGGGGGGGUAGUGGCUUACCAAGGCUUUGACGGGUAGCCGGCCUGAGAGGGUGACCGGCGACAUUGGGCCUGAGAUACGGACCAGACUCCUACGGGAGGCAGCAGUGGGGAAUAUUGCACAAUGGGCGGAAGCCUGAUGCAGCAACGCCGCGUGCGGGAUGACGGCCUUCGGGUUGUAAACCGCUUUCGCCUGUGACGAAGCGUGAGUGACGGUAAUGGGUAAAGAAGCACCGGCUAACUACGUG